rnacentral:rRNA from 1 species
UGGGGAAUAUUGCACAAUGGGCGCAAGCCUGAUGCAGCCAUGCCGCGUGUGUGAAGAAGGCCUUCGGGUUGUAAAGCACUUUCAGCGAGGAGGAAGGUGGUGAGCUUAAUACGCUCAUCAAUUGACGUUACUCGCAGAAGAAGCACCGGCUAACUCCGUGCCAGCAGCCGCGGUAAUACGGAGGGUGCAAGCGUUAAUCGGAAUUACUGGGCGUAAAGCGCACGCAGGCGGUUUGUUAAGUCAGAUGUGAAAUCCCCGGGCUCAACCUGGGAACUGCAUUUGAAACUGGCAAGCUAGAGUCUCGUAGAGGGGGGUAGAAUUCCAGGUGUAGCGGUGAAAUGCGUAGAGAUCUGGAGGAAUACCGGUGGCGAAGGCGGCCCCCCUGGACGAAGACUGACGCUCAGGUGCGAAAGCGUGGGGCAGCAAACAGGAUUAGAUACCCUGGUAGUCCAGCGCUGUAAACGAUGUCGAUUUGGAGGUUGUGCCCUUGAGGCGUGGCUUCCGGAGCUAACGCGUUAAAUCGACCGCCUGGGGGAGUACGGCCGCAAGGUUAAAACUCAAAGGAAUUGAC